CGCGAUUGCAUUCAGAUGUUAAUCUAUAAUUCUUUGAAUAACAGUUUGAUAAAAUAUUAAUGUUUAUAAUGAGUAAUUAUAAAUUUAGAAAUGUUGUAAUUUGUUGUGCUGAUUCACCGGCAUUUUUGGAGGCAAAAUAUUUUCUGAACAUCACGCGCUAAUGUAAAAUGCUGUUUUUGGAUAUAAAUAUGAACUUGAUAGAACAAAAAAAGCAUGUAUUGUCUAACAUGAUGUCAUAGGAGUGUCAUCUGAUGAAGAUUGUCAAAGGUUAGUGCAUCAUUUUAGCUGGUUUUGUGCUUUUGGACGGCUACCGUUGCUUUGAAAAUGCUUUGAAAAUGGCUGUGUUGUUCUUUGGCUGGGUACUCUCCUAACAUAAUCUAAUAUUUUGCUUUCGCUGUAAGGCCUUUUUGAAAUCGGACAACGUGGUUGGAUUCCGGAGAUGUUUAUCUAUAAAAUGGUAUAAAAUAGUUGUAUGUUUGAGAAAUUUGAAUUAUGACAUUUUGUUGUUUUCAAAUUUGGCGCUCUGAUAUUUCACUGGCUGUUGAACCGCGGGUGGGACGGUGACGUCCCACGUAGCCCAUAUUAGUUUUAAAGUGUUAACUGUAUCUCUGAUUGAACCAUGUUAUAAAGUGUUGAUAACUGUAUCUCUGAUUGAACCAUGUUAUAAAGUGUUGAUCACUGUAGCUCUGAUUGAACCAUGUUGUAAAGUGUUGAUCACUGUAGCUCUGAUUGAACCAUGUUGUAAAGUGUUGAUAACUGUAUCUCUGAUUGAACCAUGUUGUAAAGUGUUGAUAACUGUAGCUCUGAUUGAACCAUGUUGUAAAGUGUUGAUAACUGUAGCUCUGAUUGAACCAUGUUAUAAAGUGUUGAUCACUGUAGCUCUGAUUGAACCAUGUUGUAAAGUGUUGAUAACUGUAGCUCUGAUUGAACCAUGUUGUAAAGUGUUGAUAACUGUAGCUCUGAUUGAACCAUGUUGUAAAGUGUUGAUAACUGUAGCUCUGAUUGAACAUGUUGUAAAGUGUUGAUAACUGUAGCUCUGAUUGAACCAUGUUUAAAGUUGUUGAUCACUGUAGCUCUGAUUGAACCAUGUUGUAAAGUGUUGAUAACUGUAG
rnacentral:lncRNA from 1 species